rnacentral:rRNA from 1 species
UACGUAGGGGGCGAGCGUUGUCCGGAUUUAUUGGGCGUAAAGAGCUCGUAGGCGGUUCGGCAAGUCGGAUGUGAAAUCUCCACGCUCAACGUGGAGGGGCCAUUCGAUACUGCCGUGACUCGAGUCCGGUAGGGGAGUGUGGAAUUCCCGGUGUAGCGGUGAAAUGCGCAGAGAUCGGGAGGAACACCCGUAGCGAAGGCGGCACUCUGGGCCGGUACUGACGCUGAGGAGCGAAAGCGUGGGGAGCGAACAGG